UCUAAUUGUAAUGUCCAAUAGAAUAUCCAUAUCGAAAUCAAAACUUUAGAGCGUGAAGUCAAUUUCAUUAAUAAUCAUCAUCAUCAUCAUCAUCUUCUAGUUAUCAUUUUCAGCUUAUCUUACAACAAAUAGCUCAGAAACACUUGAAGAAGAGUCUUAAUAGCUAAAACAAGUUGCAGAACCGCAUUCAAAGACUGAACAAGAAGGUUUUGAAUACCCGAAGACUUAGCCAUCUCCAAUCUUUCUACAACUACCCAUAAAUUCAUUAUUAGAAAAUAAAUGUACCAAUCUUCGGUACAAAAUUUUGAACCUCAUUGCGAGCAAUGUCUCGAAUUAGCCUUCCCAACAGCAACAUACGCGACCGUAUUAAGCUCAGAGAAAGGAGGGGUUUGUGGAGACUAGGUGAUCCAAAAAAGGUCCUUAGCUAACUGUUUGAGGGACCAGAGAUUCAUUUCUUUGUAUGCAUUUUAUAAUGAAUAACAACAUUAGUUGGAUUUCUUCUUUA